rnacentral:rRNA from 1 species
GACAGAGGGUGCAAACGUUGUUCGGAAUUACUGGGCGUAAAGCGCGUGUAGGCUGCUCUGCAAGUCGGAUGUGAAAGCCCUGGGCUCAACCUAGGAAGUGCACUCGAAACUGCAGAGCUUGAGUCUCGGAGAGGAUCGCGGAAUUCUCGGUGUAGAGGUGAAAUUCGUAGAUAUCGAGAGGAACACCGGUAGCGAAGGCGGCGAUCUGGACGAUGACUGACGCUGAGACGCGAAAGCGUGGGGAGCAAACAGG